AUGUUCCGUGGCGUCUCACGCUUCACCAACCGGUGCUCUACAUGUCGCAAAGCUAAGUCUAAAGCUCAAUCCCAUGGUCUUUACACGCCCCUUCCUAUUCCUUAUCAACCUUGGGAAGACAUUAGCAUGGAUUUUAUACUUGGUUUGCCUAUAACUCAAAGUGGAAAGGAUUUCGUGUUUGUUGUUGUGGAUAGAUUUUCUAAGAUGGCACAUUUCAUCCCUUGCAACAAGAUAAACGAUGCUUCACACAUUGCAAAUCUCUUUUGUAGGGAAAUCUUGCGUCUCCAUCGAGUCCCAAAGACAAUCCUCUCCGACCGCGACGUCAAGUUCUUGAGUUACUUUUGGAAGACACUAUGCGCCAAACUUGGAAUCAAGCUAUUGUUCUCUUCGACAUACCAUCCUCAAACCGACGGCCAAACGGAGGUGACGAACCGUACACUCUCCACUCUACUUCGCGUGUUGAUCAAGAAGAACAUCAAGGAGUGGGAGGCAUGUCUACCCAUCACCGAGUACGCCUACAACCGUGCAAGACAUUCAACUACCGGCAAGUCCCCUUUCGAGGCCGUCUACGACUUCAACCCGUUAUCCCCAUUGGACAUUCUACCUCUUCCUCUACAAGAGCGCACAAACAUCGACGCAAGUGCUCGUGCAAGCUACAUCAAGAAGAUGCAUGAAGAUCCAAGUCACACGAUAGAGCGACAAGUACAACGACUAGCAACCAAGCUCAACGUCAACAAGCAACCCAUGGUCUUCGACAUUGGUGAUCUAGUGUGGCUACACCUUCGCAAGGACCGCUUCCCCAACGAACGCAAGUCCAAGCUUCUCCCUCGAGCCGAUGGACCUUUCAAGGUGCUAGCACGCUACAACGACAACGCCUACAAGAUCGACCUACCACGAGGCAAGUACAAUGUGAGCAACAUCUUCAACGUCAAGGACCUCACGCCAUACCACGGAGAUGAAGCUUUUGAUCCGAGGUCGGAUCUCUCCCAAGGGGGGGGGAGAUGA
rnacentral:rRNA from 1 species